rnacentral:rRNA from 1 species
GAGUUUGAUCCUGGCUCAGAUUGAACGCUGGCGGAAUGCUUUACACAUGCAAGUCGAACGGCAGCACGGGGGCAACCCUGGUGGCGAGUGGCGAACGGGUGAGUAAUACAUCGGAACGUGCCCAGUCGUGGGGGAUAACGUAGCGAAAGCUACGCUAAUACCGCAUACGAUCUGUGGAUGAAAGCGGGGGACCGUAAGGCCUCGCGCGAUUGGAGCGGCCGAUGGCAGAUUAGGUAGUUGGUGGGGUAAAGGCCUACCAAGCCGACGAUCUGUAGCUGGUCUGAGAGGACGACCAGCCACACUGGGACUGAGACACGGCCCAGACUCCUACGGGAGGCAGCAGUGGGGAAUUUUGGACAAUGGGCGCAAGCCUGAUCCGGCCAUUCCGCGUGCAGGAUGAAGGCCCUCGGGUUGUAAACUGCUUUUGUACGGACGAAAAGGUGCCCUCUAAUACAGGGUGCUGAUGACGGUACCGUAAGAAUAAGCACCGGCUAACUACGUGCCAGCCGCCGCGGUAAC